rnacentral:piRNA from 1 species
UAGCUUGACUGAUGGCCGCGCGCCGGU